AAAUCUAUUUUAUAUUUGAGAAUCUUCAAAGUAGCCACCAUUUUGCCUUGAUGACAGCUUUGCACACUUUGGCAUUCUCUCCACCAGCUUCAUGAGGUAGUCACCUGGAAUGCAUUUCAAUUAACAGGUGCGACUUGUUUAAAGUUAAUUUGUGGAAUUUAUUUCCUUCUUAAUGCAUUUGAGCCAAUCAGUUGUGUUGUGACAAGGUAGGGGUGGUAUACGGAAGAUAGCCUUAUGAUGGAACUGAUAUGAUGGAACUGGCUCUCAUGAGGACCGUCACAGGAAAGGAAGACCCAGAGUUACCUCUGCUGGAGAGGAUAAGUUCAUUACAGUUACCAGCCUCAGAAAUUGCAGCCCAAAUAAAUGCUUCACAGAGCUCAAGUAACAGACACAUCUCAGCUGUUCAGAGGGGACCUCGUGAAUCAAGCCUUCAUGGUCAAAUUGAUGCAAAGAAACCACUAUGAAAGGACAUCAAAACUAUGAAAUAACACAUAUGGAAUCUAAAUAAAUCACUGAGAGUGUCACGAGCCAUGCACCCCCACACCAUCACACCUCCUCCUCCAUGUAAUGUAAAAGGACCAGUAUUCAGAGCCGUAGAGUAGGAGAGCUGAUCUAGGAUCAGGUCCCCCCUGUCCAUGUAAUCUUAUUCAUUACGAUUCUAAGGAUUCAAACUGAUCCUAGAUCAUAACACUGACGCAGAGACGCUAUUUGAAUCGAGGAGGCAGAAAGUAGGUAUGGAACACAGCCAAGCCCAGCCCAAGACAAGGAUUACUUUCAGUUCAACUUCCUCUGGGCUCUUCAUGGGAAGUCCUGCCCCCAGAGUAAAUAACACACACACACACACACACACACACACACACACACACACACACACACACACACACACACACACACACACGAGCUUGCAGUUCAUCCAAUCAUCUUCUCACACGGCCUCAGAUCUACAGAUCUACACGGAAACCGAGCACCAGAAAAAAGAGAUUACAUUUAUUGUAAAACACCAGAUCAAUAUUCCCUGUUCUGUGAGAGCAAUGGCCAGGUCAGAGAGUAUCCCUCUGGAGGAGAAGAUGUUGAGCAUCCUGGAUCGAUGCGGACCAGCUCUGACAUAUGUCCUACAUAGCAAGUUUGGAUGUACUGCUGUGCUCCAUGGUGUUGAUGCCGGUGCAAUGAAGUUCAAGAAGCCAGGUGAGGAAAGGUUUUCUACCCAGCUGUCAAAGGACCUCAACAGUAAAAAGACAGUGAAAAAUAACAGUAGCGUUGCUACAUACAGGCACCGGUUAAUCAGGCUGAUUGAGGUAGUAUGUACAUGUAGAUAUGGUUAAAGUGACUAUGCAUAUAUGAUGAACAGAGAGUAGCAGUAGCGUAAAAGAGGGGUUGGCAGGUGGUGGCUGGGACACAACGCAGAUAGCCUGGUUAGUCAAUGUGCGGGAGCACUGGUUGGUCGGGCCAAUUGAGGUAGUAUGUACAUGAAUGUAUAGUUAAAGUGACUAUGCAUAUUUGAUAAACAGAGAGUAGCAGCAGUGUAAAAGAGGGGUUGGGGGGGGCACACAAUGCAAAUAGUCCGGGUAACCAUUUGGUUACCUGUUCAGGAGUCUUAUGGCUUGGGGUUAAAAACUGUCGAGAAGCCUUUUUGUCCUAGACUUGGCACUCCGGUACCGCUUGCCAUGCGGUAGUAGAGAGAACAGUCUAUGACUGAGGUAGCUGGGGUCUUAUACAAUCUUUUGGACCGCCUGGUGUAGAGGUCCUGGAUGUCAGGCAGCUUGGCCCCAGUGAUGUACUGGGCCAUACGCACUACCCUCUGUAGUGCCUUGCGGUCGGAGUCCGAGCAAUUGCCGUAUCAGGCAAUGAUACAACCAAUUAGGAUGCUCUCGAUGUUGCAGCUGUAGAUCCUUUUGAGGAUCUGAGGACUCAAGCCAAAUCUUUUUAGUUUCCUGAUGAGGGAUAGGUUGUUAUUCUGGCACCACCCGGCCAGGUCUCUGACCUCCUCCCUAUUGGCUGUCUCGUUGUUGUCGUGACCAGGCCUACCGCUGUUGUGUCGUCUGCAAACUUCAUGAUGGUGUUGGAGUUGUGCCUGGCCAUGGGUGAACAGGGAGUAUAGGAGGGGACUGAGCACGCACCCCUGGGGAGCUCCAGUGUUGAGGAUCAGUGUGGCAGAUGUGUUGCUACCUAACCUUACCACCUGGGGGCGGCUCAUCAGGAAGUCCAGGAUUCAGUUGCAGAGGGAGGUGUUUAGUCCCAGGAUCCUUAGCUGAGUGAUGAGCUUUGUGGGCACUAGGGUGUUGAACGCUGAACUGUAGUCAAUGAAUAGCAUUCUCAAAUAGGUGUUCCUUUUGUCCAGGUGGGAAAGGAUAGUGUGGAGUGCAAUAGAGAUUGCAUCAUCUGUGGAUCUGUUUGGGCGGUAUGAAAAUUGGAGUGGGUCUAGGGUUUCUGGGAUAAUGGUGUUGAUGUGAGCCAUUACCAGCCUUUCAAAUCACUUCAUGGCUACGGACGUGAAUGCUACAGGUCUGUAGUCAUUUAGGCAGGUUGCCUUUGUGUUCUUGGGCACAGGGACUACGGUGGUCUGCUUGAAACAUGUUGGUAUUACAGACUCAGUCAGGGACAUGUUGAAAAUGUCAGUGAAGACACCUGCCAGUUAGUCAGCACGUCCUGGUAAUCCGUCUGGCCCCGCAGCCUUGUGAAUGUUGACCUGUUUAAAGGUCUUACUCACGUCGGCUACAAAGAGCGUGAUCACACAGUUGUCCUGAACAGCUGAUGCUCUCAUGCAUGCCUCAGUGUUGCUUGCAUCGAAGUGAGCAUAGAAGUGAUUUAGCUCGUCUGGUAGGCUCGUAUCACUGGGCAGCUUGCGGCUGUGCUUCCCUUUGUAGCCUGUAAUAGUUUGCAGGCCCUGCCACAUAAGACAAGCUUCGGAGCCGGUGUAGUAUGGUUCAAUCUUAGCCCUGUAUUGACGCUUUUCCUGUUUCAUGAUUCGUCGCAGGACAUAGCAGGAUUUCUUAUAAGCUUCGGGCUUAGAGUCCCGCACCUUGAAAGCGAUAGCUCUACCCUUUAGCUCAGUGCGAAUGUUGCCUGUAAAUCAUGGCUUCUGGUUGGGGUAUGUACGUACAGUCACUGUGGGGACGACGUCCUCGAUGCACUUAUUGAUAAAGCCAGCAACUGAUGUGGUGUAUUCCUCAAUGUCAUCGGAAGAAUCCCGAAACAUGUCCCAGUCUGUGAUAGCAAAACAGACCUGUAGUUUAGCAUCUGCUUCAUCUGACCACGUUUUAUAGACAGAGUCAUUGGUGCUUCCUGCUUUAAUUUUUGCUUGUGAGCAGGAAUCAGGAUAGAGUUGUGGUCGGAUUUACCAAAUGGAGGGCGAGGGAGAGCUUUGUACGCAUCUCUGUGUGUGGAGUAAAGGUGAUCUAGAUUUUAUUUUCUCUGGUUGCACAUUUAACAUUUUGAUAUAAAUGAGGUAAAACUGAUUUAAGUUUCCCGGCAUUAAAGUCUCCGGCCACUAGGAGCGCUGCCUCUGGGUUUCCUGCUUGCUUAUUUCCUUAUAUAGCAAAAUCUAGGGACUUCCUUAGAUUUCGUGCACCAGCUGUUGUUUACAAAUAUUCACAGACCGCCCCCCUCGUCCUCAGUGUGCUGUUCUAUCUUGCCGCUGCAGUGUAUAUCCCGCUAGCUGAAUAUCCAUGUCAUCAUUCAGCCACGAUUCCGUGAAACAUAAGAUAUUACAGUUUUUGAUGUCCCGUUGGUAGGAUAUUCGUGAUCGUACCUCGUCUAGUUAUUGUCCAAUGAUUGCACGUUGGCAAGUAAUAUUGACAGUAACGGCAGCUUUCCCACUCGCCUUCUGCGGGUCCGUACGAGGCAUCCCGCUCUGUGGCCUCUGUACCCGCGUCUCUUCUUCUUUCAAAUAACUGGGAUGUUGGCCUUGUAGGGUGUUCGGAGAAUGUCCUGUGCGUCCUGCUUGUUGAGAAAAUCUUUGUCUAUUCCGAGGUGAGGGAUCACUGUCCUGAUAUCCAGAAGCUCUUUGUCUAAUCCGAGGUGAGUGAUCGCUGUCCUGAUAUCCAGAAGCUCUUAGUCUAAUCCGAGGUGAGGGAUCGCUGUCCUGAUAUCCAGAAGCUCUUUGUCUAAUCCGAGGUGAGUGAUCGCUGUCCUGAUAUCCAGAAGCUCUUUGUCUAAUCCGAGGUAGUGAUCGCUGUCCUGAUAUCCAGAAGCUCUUAGUCUAAUCCGAGGUGAGGGAUCGCUGUCCUGAUAUCCAGAAGCUCUUUGUCUAAUCCGAGGUGAGUGAUCUCUGUCCUGAUAUCCAGAAGCUCUUUGUCUAAUCCGAGGUGAGUGAUCGCUGUCUUGAUAUCCAGAAGCUCUUAGUCUAAUCCGAGGUGAGUGAUCGCUGUCCUGAUAUCCAGAAGCUCUUAGUCUAAUCCGAGGUGAGUGAUCUGAUAUCCAGAAGCUCUUAGUCUAAUCUGAGGUGAAUGAUCGCUGUCCUGAUAUCCAGAAGCUCUUUGUCUAAUCCGAGGUGAGUGAUCGCUGUCCUGAUAUCCAGAAGCUCUUAGUCUAAUCCGAGGUGAGGGAUCGCUGUCCUGAUAUCCAGAAGCUCUUUGUCUAAUCCGAGGUGAGUGAUCUCUGUCCUGAUAUCCAGAAGCUCUUUGUCUAAUCCGAGGUGAGUGAUCGCUGUCUUGAUAUCCAGAAGCUCUUAGUCUAAUCCGAGGUGAGUGAUCGCUGUCCUGAUAUCCAGAAGCUCUUAGUCUAAUCCGAGGUGAGUGAUCUGAUAUCCAGAAGCUCUUAGUCUAAUCCGAGGUGAGUGAUCGCUGUCCUGAUAUCCAGAAGCUCUUAGUCUAAUCCGAGGUGAGUGAUCUGAUAUCCAGAAGCUCUUAGUCUAAUCCGAGGUGAGUGAUCGCUGUCCUGAUAUCCAGAAGCUCUUAGUCUAAUCCGAGGUGAGUGAUCUGAUAUCCAGAAGCUCUUAGUCUAAUCCGAGGUGAGUGAUCGCUGUCCUGAUAUCCAGAAGCUCUUUGUCUAAUCCGAGGUGAGUGAUCUCU
ensembl:lncRNA